GAUGAACGCUGGCGGCGUGCCUAAUACAUGCAAGUCGAGCGAACAGACGAGGAGCUUGCUUCUCUGACGUUAGCGGCGGACGGGUGAGUAACACGUGGAUAACCUACCUAUAAGACUGGGAUAACUUCGGGAAACCGGAGCUAAUACCGGAUAAUAUAUUGAACCGCAUGGUUCAAUAGUGCAAGCCGGUUUUGCUGUCACUUAUAGAUGGAUCCGCGCCGCAUUAGCUAGUUGGUAAGGUAACGGCGUACCAAGGCAACGAUGCGUAGCCGACCUGAGAGGGUGAUCAGCCACACUGGAACUGAGACACGGUCCAGACUCCUACGGGAGGCAGCAGUAGGGAAUCUUCCGCAAUGGGCGAAAGCCUGACGGAGCAACGCCGCGUGAGUGAUGAAGGUCUUCGGAUCGUAAAACUCUGUUAUUAGGGAAGAACAAAUGUGUAAGUAACUAUGCACGUCUUGACGGUACCUAAUCAGAAAGCCACGGCUAACUACGUG
rnacentral:rRNA from 1 species